UGGGGAAUAUUGCACAAUGGGCGAAAGCCUGAUGCAGCGACGCCGCGUGAGGGAUGACGGCCUUCGGGUUGUAAACCUCUUUCAGCAGGGAAGAAGCGAAAGUGACGGUACCUGCAGAAGAAGCGCCGGCUAACUACGUGCCAGCAGCCGCGGUAAUACGUAGGGCGCAAGCGUUGUCCGGAAUUAUUGGGCGUAAAGAGCUCGUAGGCGGUUAGUCGCGUCUGCUGUGAAAACUCGAGGCUCAACCUCGGGCCUGCAGUGGGUACGGGCAGACUAGAGUGCGGUAGGGGAGAAUGGAAUUCCUGGUGUAGCGGUGGAAUGCGCAGAUAUCAGGAGGAACACCGAUGGCGAAGGCAGUUCUCUGGGCCGUAACUGACGCUGAGGAGCGAAAGCGUAGGGAGCGAACAGGAUUAGAUACCCUGGUAGUCCACGCCGUAAACGUUGGGCGCUAGAUGUGGGACCAUUCCACGGUUUCCGUGUCGCAGCUAACGCAUUAAGCGCCCGCCUGGGGAGUACGGCCGCAAGGCUAAAAC
rnacentral:rRNA from 1 species